rnacentral:rRNA from 1 species
AUUGAACGCUGGCGGCAGGCCUAACACAUGCAAGUCGAGCGGCAGCGGGAAAGUAGCUUGCUACUUUUGCCGGCGAGCGGCGGACGGGCGAGUAAUGCCUGGGAAAUUGCCCAGUCGAGGGGGAUAACAGUUGGAAACGACUGCUAAUACCGCAUACGCCCUACGGGGGACAGCAGGGGACCUUCGGGCCUUGCGCGAUUGGAUAGGCCUAGGUGGGAUUAGCUAGUUGGUGAGGUAAUGGCUCACCAAGGCGACGAUCCCUGGCUGGUCUGAGAGGAUGAUCAGCCACACUGGAACUGAGACACGGUCCAGACUCCUACGGGAGGCAGCAGUGGGGAAUAUUGCACAAUGGGGGAAACCCUGAUGCAGCCAUGCCGCGUGUGUGAAGAAGGCCUUCGGGUUGUAAAGCACUUUCAGCGAGGAGGAAAGGUCAGUAGCUAAUACCUGCUGGCUGUGACGUUACUCGCAGAAGAAGCACCGGCUAACUCCGUGCCAGCAGCCGCCGUAAGAC